AAACUCAAAUGCCUAUCCUAUCUUGUCUUUGAUGGCCAGAGACUUCUUGUCAAUUCCUGUAAGCACGGUGUCCUCAGAAUCUGCCUUUAGUUGUGUUAGAAGGAUACUUGGCAAAAAUCGGACAUCUCUCUCUCUCCAGAAACUCUUGAAGCAUUAGUAUGUGCGAAAGACUGGUUGUUUGGCUUGAAUGAUGCAGAUGAAGGUCAACCAAUGACUGGACAACGCAUGUUUGAAUCUGAUGAGGAAGAAGAUGCUGAUUGACAAAUGCAAGGUGGCUCCUGAAUGUGAGAGACUGAUGGUUCAAUGUAUCUACAAAAAUUG